ACAACAGAACAACAAAUCACUGCAGACUCUGUACACCCUCUCUUUCCUGAAUAUGAACUUCUGCCAUCAGGGAGAAGAUUCCAUGUGCUGAGAUGUAAAACAAACAGACUAAAGUUAUCGUUUAUUCCACCUUCCGUCAAGCUGCUGAACUCCAAUAGUAAAUCUUAGCCCAGCAGAGCAGGGUUGCAAUAAAUACACCAGCACUUUUUGCACUUAGCACUUUAAUUAUUACAGUUAAUUCUUAGGAUGUUGUGUUGUCUGUGCUGCCAUAUGUGUCCUUCUUUUGUGUCUUAGGAUGCUUUGCUGAUCUCAUUUUUAUGUUUAUUUUAUUUUAUGUUGAUUUUAGAAUGUUUUUUCUGUUA